rnacentral:lncRNA from 1 species
GUAGUAAAUAAAUUCACUAAAAAAAUAAGUGGUAGAAUUAACUAGGUUGAGCUCAUUAGUACUCGAGUAAUUAAGUCUGAGGGGACUUUGUGCCUAACAACCUAAAGCCCUUCGUGGUUUGGGAUUGUUGACCCAACGCUCGCUACAUGGGUACUAGUGCAUAAAUCUUUAGGGAUCUCAACCAUUGCACGGUUAAAUAAACCACUAGAAUAGAGUGAAUAAUUGGUGUGUGAAGUCUUGUGGUGUUCGUAACGCAUUUACACUGCGAAGCGCUCUGACCUUAGACCGAGCAAUUAAUCACCAAUAAAAAGAAAAAAAAAUAUAGUGAAUAAAAUAGAAGGGUGUGGACAUUCUUUGGGACCUUGGCUUUUAGUUGGACUUGAGUGACGGGGUGUUAGUUUUAAACUUUUACGAUUCUUGAUUGGGAUUCCGUGGGAGUAGUAGUUUUUGUCUUGUCUCAAUAAAAGAGCAUGCUUGCACACACUGGCACUCCACACUUGUAAAUAGAAGAGUAAUUGACUUGGUAGCGAGAGAGAUGAAAUUCGAGAACAUUAGCACAAUCUGAGGUAUUAUAAUUGGCAAGGCAAUUACUUCAUAGUUUACUCAUUCAUCACGUAGUUGCAUUCAUGCAUUGCAUUGUAUUAUUGUUAAUGUCGUUGACGCUUGAGGACAAGCAUCAGUUUAAGUUUGGGGGUGUGAUAAGUGGUAUUUAUACACACUUAUAGGCCUUCAUUUCCACUUAAAUUGGUUGGUUGUACUUAAGUGUUUAGUGUCUUUUGAUGUGUUUUUAGUGUUUUUCUGUGCAGGUCACGAGUUGAGGUGAUGAAGUGAUUUUCUAUCAUUUUAGGUUGUUUUUGGUGCAUUAUUUGCAAGAAUAGAGAAUUGUGGAUUCAUCACGACUUGGGAUUUUGUGGGUACAUCUUCUACAAACCCUCACGAGAACACACUCGUCCACUAGAGCUAUCUAGGGGUUUAAAGGGCUUGUUGCAUGUGCUAAAUGCAACCGUGAUCACCUACGGAAGUGGUACU